rnacentral:misc_RNA from 1 species
AAAAGUAUAUUAAUUUAGAUACUGUAAUUGUAAGGAUCUUUUAUUCUAAAAUGCACAUUUAGUUGAGAAGUACAACUGUAUAUACUAUAGCCUAGUGUACUUUGACAGGAUUGAGAGUACAAUAAUACAUUAUCUGCAAUACUAGUACCAAUAGAUAUAAAAACAAAUCCAGCAAGUGCUGUUUGAGAAUACUAUACCUUUUUAUCUUCAAUUUUCUUAUGAAGAAAGAAGACGGCGGCAAUGUGUGUUGAUGAAAUUCUGUUUGACUUUUAAACAAAGCUCACUGUGGGAACUCAUAUAUAUACUAGUAAUGGCAUUUAUAGCUCCAUCAAGUAUCACAUUAUUCAGAAUUAUUUUAUAUACCAGCUUUAAAAAUAUGAAAAUGUAGUACAGUAUUGUGUACAUUUUGCUCAGCCGAGGGAAUAACUUUGGAAACCUUGGUAUCUGUUGCUCUCACUAAGUAUACAAGUACAAAAUAGUUUUAAGUGAAGAAGAGGAGGCCACAGGAAACAACAAUAGAUGUACACACUGAAAGAUACAAAUAUUCUUAAAGAACACAAGAAUGCUUCGUGCUGCAUGUCCACCAUAAAAGUGAAGAGGAUUAAAAGCACAUAGCAGUAUAUUUGACAAAGAAUUGAUAAAGAACACAAUGGCAGCAACACGUGACCGCCGUAAUAAUGCCGGGUCAAAAAUGUGUCGGUUAUUGGAGGAAGAGGAGGAGGAUGAUUUCUACAAGACUACAUAUGGUGGAUUUAUGGAAGAGGCAGAUGACAUUGAUUAUCAAUCAGAAGUGGAACAAGAUGAUGAAGUAGAUUCUGACUUCAGCAUCGAUGAAAAUGAUGAGCCAGUAUCAGACCAUGAAGAUGAUGCCAAGGGAGGGAAAAAGAAGAGAGGCAGACUUAUCACUAAGGCUUACAAGGAGCCCAAACCUGUUCAGCGAGAAUCCACCUCAAGCAAGUUAAAAGAAAAGAAGCUCACCCCCAAGAAGCAAUAUGCUGUUUUUGACCUUGCAGCCCUAGAGAAGAAAGGUAUCCGUAAAUCAACACAGCUGAAAUCUGCUGAGACAGUGAAGCGGCAGAGGGAACGUGCUGAAGUUGAGAGGAAGCGUGCCAUGAAUAAGCGAGAGCGAGCACCUAGUUAUCCCAGGUUGACCCAAGAAGAGCUACUGGAGGAGGCUAAGAUGACAGAGGAAGUCAACUUAAAGUCUCUUGAAAAGUAUGAGCUGGCAGAGCUUGAUCGCAAGAAACCCAAGGUUGUAAGGAGGAGCUUCACAGGUUCAUUCAUACGCUACCAAUCGACCACUAUGCCACUCAUACAGGAGCUCAAGGCACCCCAGGAAUCUCACAUUGAGGAACCCAACGUUGAAGUGGAUGUCACUCAGGAGCCACUUCCUUUAGAUGCAGUCUCAGAAGGUACUGAAAACAAAGAGAACACAUCACUGGUCAAGUCAGGAAGUGACAAGGUGGAAGCAUGCGAGCGCACUUUCAUCACAUACUCUGAUGAUGUGACUUUCAAGCGAGCAUUUAGGAAAACCAAGCCAAAGGUUGUCCAGAAAAAUAUAUGCCCCAUUACCAGGUUACCAGCUCGGUAUUUUGAUCCGGUGACGCAGUUGCCGUAUGCUACGCUGCAAGCAUUCCGUGUGUUACGUGAGGCUUAUUACCAACAACUGGAGGAUAAAGGUGAUCGCAGGAACAAAGAGGUGUCCAAGUGGCUUGCAUGGCGCCGGGAAUACAAGAAGGUUCGUGCUUCAGCACAGAGCAUCAAGCCCACAGUUACUACUCUUCAUCAGUCUACAGCUUCAUCUACUGUAUCCUCUACCACCCGUGCUACGGGAAUACCAACUCUGGCAACUGUUCCCACAAUGACACCGGGUGUUACAUACUCCACUGCUCUCCCUCUUUCAACACCCACUUCAGCUGUGACAUCUGUGGCAGCAGUAGCUCAGAUUCUUAGGUCGGCUGCCCCAGCAUCAUCUACGUUAAUAGUCAGUACAGCCACGCCAAAUACGCUGCCCACCACUUCAGUGGUUGCCACGUCCCUGCAUCUCGGUCCUAGGCCCACUGCUACAGUUACCACUGCACAAGCAGGGGGCGGACUGGCCAACUUACAAGGUCAAACUGUACAGCUGGUGCAGACAGUGGGUCGUGGUAUGGGCGGGACAGUGCGGCCAAGUCAUCAGAUGGUGGUGAUGACCAGUGCUGGCCCAACUGGAGGUCUACAGUUGGUUGGCGGUGGCAGUGGUACAAAUCUUCUGGUUCAGGGUGGUGCCGGCGGUACACAAAACCUGCUGGUGCAGGGUACUACGGCGGGCAGUGUCGGCAACCUGCAGAUUGUGCAGGCCAGCGGGGGCAGUGGCGUACAGCCCACUCCGGCGCAGUAGAAAGAGAGCAUUUCUGCUACCCUUGGCAUCGGCAUCUGCAUCUGCAUCCUUACUAAGGUGGUGCAAGCCAGCGGUGGUGGGAAUGUGCAGGUGGUGCAAGGUGGCCGCUUCACCAUCCGCCCCAUGGCCAGUCAAGCAUUCACCAACCUACAGUCUCUUCUUAAGUAGCUGUAAGAGGUGGAGGAGGCUCCCCAGAAUCUACCGAGACACCUUUAUUUCCAGCAGUGCUAUAACUGCACUUACUAGAAAUUCCCAGUGAGCUUUAGAGGCCUCCUGUACUGCAUAUCCGAAACUUAACAGGUUGCCCUACCCAUGAGUAUCAAAUACUGAAAUUUUUGCAUAGCAAAGACUUGUCUGGAAAACUUUAAGUGGCAAAUGACGAUACAAAUCAUAUAGCUCUUGUGCAAUGCUUCCGAGUUGCAUAUACUGAACCUCUGUGUAAUAUGAUAAGCUGUUCUUGAAGAUAUUUUUAUCUAUAUACAGUAAUCUUGAUUUAAUUAAGAACAGCUUUGCAGUUAUUUAGUAAAGUAUGGCAUUGAAACUGGAGCUAUACAUUUGAAACAUUCUGAUACCAGGACAAUUAUGUGUAUAUAAAUAGUUCAAAGUCCAAAACCACACAUAAAAUGCAAGUGGCAAUGUUUCGGUCCAUCCUGGACCCUUGUUGAUUCGUGACAUGAUUGUCAUCACUUUCAUUUUGUUUUAUUAAAUUGCGGGGAAUGUGUUAUUUGUUUCAGCCACAUAAUUGUGAUUUAUUCUCUGCAGAUGUAUCUUUUUAUGUGCACAUAGUGAUGCUCUGUACAAAUCAUAUGUGGCCACGGUCUACAGCUCAUUUGAGAAAUAGAUCAGUUGUAUAGUUCAGCAUCUUUGGCUUUCAAGAAUGUUUUCUAUAUAAAUGGAUGGAAUUUUUGUCUUCUACAUUUCCAAGCUUGCUGUUUUGGAAUUGGCAAGCAGUGUUGUACAAAAUUUGUAUUGAAUGUGGAUAGUAGUGAAUUUUGUUAAAUUUGCUGUGUUUGUGACACCCAUUGGCCAUAGAUUAUUUAAAUCCUGAAACACCAGUGUGUAAGACUAUGGAUAUUCAAUUAGCAGAAAAUUAUUAUUCAACAUGUUGACAAUUUGAGUUGUUCCUUUUUUCAUAUACAUUUGGAGGAAAGUUAUGGUGAUCUCUUAACAAAUGUUGGAAUAUUGCCUGUGAGUUUUCUUGGGAAUAGGUGAAUCAUCUGAUGUGUAUGAAGUCUAUGGUUAGGCAGGCUGAAAAAAUAAUGUCAUUGCUGUAAUUGCAGUAAAAAUUCUGUUCAAAGUUUACUAAUAUCGUAAAAUCAAUUACAAUUUUUAGACAGCUGAUUUUGAUGCAUUGUAGAAUGCAAUUGGCUGUUAUAGUAGCAUCCAUUGAUAUUUGCUUGUUGUAUUGAAUAACAAAGACUAUGUUUAGUGUAGGGUUGAAAGAUUAACUCAAUCUGAUUGUGAAGACUAAUGCAGAGAAUGUCACAGUAAUAUGGCUGAAAUAAAUAACCAUAAUCACAUAUAUGAAGUGAAUUGAAAGUGAAGAUAUUUAGGUCCAUCUUGGACCCCUUAUGAACUUGUGUUUCAGCCAUGUUUUGUGAAUUAUUCUCUGCACUGUUAUAUUACUUUGAAUUUUUGUUCAACUUGUUUUAGUGUAAUUCAUGCAUUUAUUAAACAAAAAAAGGGUUAAAUAUUUUUAACAUUUGAUAGAAUACUGUACUAUCCAAGUUUGCAGUACAGUAUACCAUCUGUGUUUACCAUGGCAUGAAGAAAAUACUGUAUCCAUAUUGAAGUGAGAUGUAGCACCUUCCUUUGUUGUUGCCAAGCUUUGCUGAAGGAGAGAGGGGGUGAUUUGUUUCAAGAAGUAUUACUAACUCCUUUGGCAGUGCUCAUGUUAUGUCUUUCUGCUCUCAUAUUGACUUUCUCAAGGAUCCCUAUGACCUCUUUGUUACAUAUUCUUACUCUUACUUAUAUUCUUUCUUAGAGCUUUCUUUUGAGAAUUGUUUAUUCAAUCAUUAUGAAAGUUAUGGGAGGGUGCAUGCUAAAAUAUCUAGCAUAUUAUUAUUAUUAUUAUUAUUAUUAUUUUUUAAUAAUUUUCAUUUUGAGUAAGGUGCAUAAAGUGAAUGUGUACUUGAAGUGUUGUGGUUGUGGUGGCAGGUUUCAGGUAAUGUGUGUUAGUGCUGACGUGUAGAUGUUCUGGCAAGUAAUCGGUAUUAUCUAUUUUUUUUAUCUAAUAAAAAGUGAUGGUGUAUUGCCACAUGAUGGUUUUAAGACUAUAUUUGAUUGCAGUUAUUUAAGUGUAGAUAACAGUAUUGUAACUGCAAUAUGUUGGCUUUUGUGGUAUCAGAAGACAUAAGUUACGACGAACAUGUACUAACCAAAGGGUGUGUUAAUAGGCAAACACUCCUGCUGUGUCAGACAUUUCCUAACAAGUAUUAAAUACAUUCUCAUUUUUAUCGUAAGUUAUUAAUUUUUCGGUAUCCUCCUUUUUUUCCGCUCCCAUUAUGUAUACUAUUGACUUCCAUUGCAGAUGUUUCAUCUUUGUAAAUGUAGCUGCUUCAUAGGUACUCUAUUUUCAACAUUUAAAAAGAGUAGCAAAUUGUUGGAUAUAUUUUAAAAGACUUAUAAUACUGUAGGAAGUGUAGUGGAAAACUUCUUUGUUACGUAUUUUAUCAUUUCUUAUAAAUAUGUAAAUAAAACAUACAAAAUUUU